CAUGGGAGUCGGCGUGGCGGCGGCGUAGUGCCGAGGCAGGAAGGAGGCACGGGACGAUGCAUCAGCGGGUCAUGGUGCACUGCACGAGAUGAGUGACAUGAUGUAAACAACGUUGUAGGCGUUGAUGCCACACAUGCGUCAUUUUCUACUGCCGAUACUGAUUCAUGAGGGCUACUGGCACUGCUGCCGGGUAUGAGCAGGAACUGUCUCCAUUGAGAACUCUGGGUACUGCCGCCGCCGACGACCAUCGAGCACCGAGUUGGAACUGCCACCAUCAAGGAUGACAGGCCGCCAUUGAGGUUGAUUGUUUUGGCCGCGCCUUCCCACUACCAUUCUGCACCAUCACUGCUGUAUUCUGAGCAGCCGGAGCACCCCUACGGUUGCAAGAUUCCUGUAACUUGUAUUUGAGAUGCAUGUCCUAAUCGUCUUGGUUGUGGUCAGGUGUGGUAUGCAGGAAUCCGUCAGAAGAAUGUGGUACAUAAUAAUUGUUUCAUCAUCUCAUCUUCAUGCUACUUCCAGUUAGGUAAGGUUACUUCUCCUUUUGAUCUGUAGUUCAUUUCUAUUAUCGGAAGCGAUCUGAACUAAAAUAAAAUUUAUGUGGUUUCUUAGCAUUUUCUAUCUCAAACUUUGCAUCAUUAUGUCAGAUGCUAGAAAAAUAAAUGCCUGAGACAUGUUUUAAGGAAUUCAAAGAUGAGUCCCCUUUGAAGAGCAAGCAAACAUAGUACGGAGCAAGAUGAUUCGAAAUAGAGGUUCCCAUAAUUGGCAAUUGAAUCAUAUAUGAUGAUUAGCCUAAUGUGCUGCUAUAACAUUUAAAACAUUUUUUGACCUGGGAGCAAUCAGCAAACUCUGACCUCUUUGUAAUGUUUGAUUACCAUUUAUGUAGGGCUCUGUACUGCAGGACAACAUAUUCACUAUCAAUAAAUGGUCUAUUUCCAAUAUAAGGUGUAUGUCAAGUUAUACACCGGCUACAGAAAGUGAGUGUGAGUGGUAAUAUCACUCUAUCAUGGUAGACUGGAAAUUAAAGAUUGUAACUUGAUAGCAUCUUGAUAAAUGUUAAUAAAAAUUGUAGCAAAAUAAAAAGGUUAAGUCUGCUGGUUCGAAUAAGCAGUCAUUUGUCUUCCUUCCAUAGUUUCCACUAUAUGUUAUUUUUAUUGGUUUUUCCCUCUAGACUUCAAUUUCUUUUAUACCAUGGUGAGUUGCCUUUAGUUAGUUUAUUGAAUUUGAUACUUCCAUCAGUUCAUUGCCUUUAGUUAGUUCUAUAACAAGUUUCAAUCAAUUGUUCAUCCCUACAUUAACGAAUAGGUAUGGAGUUGCUUAUUGUUACUUCAAAGCAGCAAGACUGUGUGAUGAUUCCUACAUCGUGAUUAGCAUAUCUAUGCCAUGUACAUUUAUUCUCUGGAACUGGAGGUAAUUUCUUCUAAUAAUCACAAGUUAUUUAUGCCUCUUUUGUACCGAGAUCUCUAGAAGUGGAGGGGUUGAAGAAGGUCAAGUGCAAGAUGAAGAUUAAUAGGAAGAUUUACAACCCAAUGUUGAAGUAUGUAACCCAUUUUGUUUGCAUGUAGCUACAAUCCAAGAGGAAGAAAUGCAGAAGCAUUUGUUCAGGCUUCGGACAUGUGUGGUUGAGGAGAGAGCAACAUCCAGCCACUACAAACUUGACAUAUGUGCAAAGGUACAAGUAAUACAUGCAAUUGUCAAGAAAAAUAACAUAUAUGUGGUGAACAACUCCCAUAGGUAGAGUAAAUGUCGGUUGUUUUACAACAGAUGGGAUGUCCUUCAUUUCAUCUUCUAUGCUAUUGGUGAUUGACUUCGUUUGACCCUUGCAGCAAGUGGCCGUCAUACCCGUCGUCGACGCGUCCGUGCCUAGCGCCUGCCACCGCGCGCCAUCGCUCAUCGUACACCACCUCGCCGUCCUAAGCUGAGUCCCCAUGGGUUGCACUCGUCGGCGGCGGCGGCGCCACCCUCAUCCGGUAUUUUGAGGUUUUCACGCAGAUCUGUUGUUCAGUCUUAGUGCAUCGUGCCUCCUGACUCCGCAUGAUGUAUUUGCUAGCUGCUUGUAUAUUCUACUAAGAUUGACGUGAGUCUUCUUGGGCCUGAUUCAUUCAAGCAAACUAUCUGCAGACAAUUAUUUCAUUUAUUUAUUUGAAAUAAUUUUUUUCUUUUAGGAGAGUAUACAGAAAGACGAAUAGACAUGCAGACUAAGCUCCAUAGCAAAAGGAUUUUGUUAGUACAUGCCAUGUUUAUGCUCACUGUUGAAUAUUAUGUAUAUAACUAUUUAUGCAAUACUUGGACCAUAGGAGCAAUUCAUUCUGUAUAUUUUGCUGGGGAUUGUGCCUUGCAGUCAAUUUAUAGAAGGGUAAGAUGUAUCACAAUUUCUUUGACUUGCAUUCUCUGUGAUGUCAAGUAAGAAAAUAGAAUAUAUACUCUUAGAAUUAUCUUUUCUUUUUUUCGAUGUCUCUAUCUUACUUAUAUAAUCCAAUUGGCAUUCGCUGGAGUUUCUGUUGACGAAACAUUUGUUUUGUGAUGUCAGCAGGUUCUGUUGAUCUACAUUACGGUUUAAUUCUUACACAAAUUAAUGUUGACUUGAUUCCCUGUAGUAGGUUGAGAGGCUUCUCCUCUCAUGAUUUACUCUGAUUAGUUUGCUUGGCUCCAUGCUCCUCAUGAUUUCUUUGAACUUUUCUGUAGGAGCUCGAUCAAAAGUCACCUAAGAAAAAUAUGUCGUUCUUCUCUACAAUGGUUGCAUGUGGAAUUUGAGGAGAAUUUGUGCACCAGCAUCCGGCUCCUUGAUGUUGCUCUGAUCAUAUUGUGUAAAUAUAUUUCUAAUAAAGCAAUCGCCCGAUGGUGUACAUGUUAGAAAUAACAAGAUGUAAUUAUCAAGUGUGAGAGAUGGCAACCUCAUGAUGGGAUGGUAUGUACUGUUGUGCUCAUCAAUAGGUUAGUCUUUCAUUCUAUUGCAGCCAGUAUGUUUUCUGUUAUGCAAACAAUUAAGAAAUAUCUAAUUUCUAUGUACGUCCAAAUAUAUAUAAGUGGUUGUUGUUAACACUGAAUUUGGAUUUGUUAACGGUCGCUGCAUUUGGUCUAUCCCGAGCCUUUGGCUGUGGAUCACGUUCUUUUGAUAUCCGCUUGCCACGAUAUGUUAUCUCUGGUUGUGGUUGUGGCUGGACUUCUGGUAUGUGUUACCUCUAUUUUUUUUUUCUCUGGACUAAUUAGGGCCUGCUUCUGUUUGCUCUGGUUGAUAUAAUGGUUGUGGCAUGCAGCAGCCAAGCCAACAACAGAGCCAGGCUUAGGCCUGAUGACGACUUGACAAAUAUGGUCAAGAUGUUGAAGAUGAGGAAUCUGACGAUACUGAAGAAAUAGGGGGUACUCUUAGCUUUAGUUCCUUAUAUCAUUUUUUGAUGUCCAUUGCUAUGUAUCUGUAUAAACUUGCUUCAGCCAUUAUUGUCAAUUGGCCGGCAAAAGGAUUGCAUAUCUCUAGCCAUACAGAAUAAGCGGAUGAGAUGAUGUGCAUUCAUUUGGUGGCACAAAAUCAAUUUCCUUUGCCAGCUAAUAGUACAUACAUUAAGAAAAUUACUAUAGUUGGCAGCUCUUCA